rnacentral:rRNA from 1 species
UACGUAGGGUGCAAGCGUUAAUCGGAAUUACUGGGCGUAAAGCGUGCGCAGGCGGUUUUGUAAGUCUGUCGUGAAAUCCCCGGGCUUAACCUGGGAAUGGCGAUGGAGGCUGCAAGGCUAGAGUUUGGCAGAGGGGGGUAGAAUUCCACGUGUAGCAGUGAAAUGCGUAGAGAUGUGGAGGAAUACCGAUGGCGAAGGCAGCCCCCUGGGCCAAUACUGACGCUCAUGCACGAAAGCGUGGGGAGCAAACAGG